AUUCCUCUAUUUAUUAAAGGUCUCAUUUCUAUGAAAUUAACCACAUUAGCGAUACCCUGUAGAACUCUGCAUUUCUAGAUUCAUCUGCUUUUCUAUAACUGCUUGUCCAUGAAUGAUUGAGAAAACGAAUUAUAUGUGUAGUGCUAACCCUUUACCCUUACUUAAUAAUCAUUAUUUUUCUAAAAAACAAAAAACAAUAAACAUUUAUAUCUCAUGGUUCUGGAAGGUGGGAAGUCCAAGAUCAAGGCAUUGGCAAAUCCAUAAUCUGAUGAGGGUAUGUCUUCUUGUAUUCUCACGUGAUGGACAGCAUGUCAGAAUCUUUUUAUUCCAAACAACUGGCUGCUUUCCAAAUAACUGGUUACACUUAUGCAGUUCUAGCUAAAACAUAAUGCACUCAUUUGCUGUUGAGCAUAUGUUGAGGAUACUUAUAUCUUUUUCAACCAUUUCAUUGUCAAAACAAGAAGAAGGCAACAUCUGUAAAAUCUUCUGCAUAUUUCUUAUUACCUUUUGUGAAAUUUCAUAAAAUAUUAGGUGGGGAAUAUCAUGGUUUAAAACAUCACUAAAAAUUAGAAGGGCUUAUCUUCAUAAUCUAGAUAUAUAUUGUGAUAAUUAUGAAGGCUUCAUGAUAUCAUUAGACAUUAUCUUGAAGCAUACAAAGAGCAGGGUUCAUUGUUAACAAGAAUGGUUAUAAAUCCAUUGUUGCUUCUCAAGUCAUUACUGCUUUAAAAUAUAUGUAUGUAUCUAAUAUUUCCUUAUUCAUUACAUUAAUAAAAAUCUACCAAGGGCCAAUGGGCUUCUUAAUAAUUUUGAAAUGUCUUGGCCUAAUUUUGGUUAGAUUUUAUUAAGUAAAAGCAUCAUUAAACAAUGACUAACCUCAUACUGUGACUGAAAGAAUUAAUACCAGGAAUGAAGGAAUGUCACUUUUGCUAGUUGCUUAUGCCUAUAUGUUAUUUUCUACCUGCUGUUUCUUGUCUGAAACAUUUUAAACUAUUUGUGUAUACCUAUGAGUGUUAAACUACUUAACUUGACAUACAUGUGAGGUACAGUACAUUACAGGGUGCUGAAAAUGGGCAGAUGAAGGAGGAUUCUCCACUAUCAGCUUAUCUCUGCAUGUAGACCUCCAUCAUUUCCUCAGGACACCUGAGGAAAUAAAUAAAUAUUGAAUGACUGGCUUACAUUUGGACAAAAUGAGGGCUGUAGUGCAUCUGUUAACCUGUAUAGAAAAUAUUGUAAGGUUUUCUAAUUUUUCUUAAACUUCUAAUUCUAGAACAGUUUUAGAUGCAUAGAAAAAUUGCAAAGAUAAUAGAAUUCUUAUAUACUUCACCUCCAGUUUCACCCAUUAUAACAUCUUACAUUAGUAUGCUACAUUUGUUCCACAUAAUGAACUAAUAUUGAUAGGUUAUUUUUAGCUAAAGUCCAUAUUUAUUGAGAUAUCCUUAGUUUUUACCUAAUGUUCUUUUUGUUCCAGAAUCCCACCCAGCAGGAUGCCAUAUUACAUUGAGUAGUUAUGUCUCUUAGGUUUCUCUUGACUGGGACAGUUUCUCAGACUUUUCUUGUUUUUGAUGACUAUAUCAGACUGUAUCUUGUUUUUGAUGACUUGAUAGUAUUUUAUAGACCAUGUGACAUUUUACUCAUUCAAGUGGUUUAUGUGUUUUGGGUAGGAAGAUCACAGAGGUAAAGUGCCAUUUUAUCACGUUUUAUUAAGGGUACAUAUUAUCAACAUGACUUGUCACUGUUGAUGUUAACCUUGAUCUCUUGGUUGAGGUGAUGUUAGUUUUUUUCACUGUAAUUGUUCCCUGUGCCCCUCACCCACCCACAUACUAUACUUUUUGGAAAGAAGUUGCUAUGAAUAACCCACACUUAAGGAGUAGGGGGUUAUACUUUACUUCCUUGAAGGUGGAACAUCUAAUAACAUUUUUUUUCAAUUCUGCAUGGGAGAUUUUUCUCCCAUUUAUUGAUUUGUUUAAGCUUUAUUUUAUUAUGGACUAAUGGAUAUUUGUUUUAUACUUUUUGUUACAACUCAAACUACUUUAUUGAUUCCAGCUUCAGAUUGAGAGUUCUUUCAGUCGGGUCUUUUGUUCCUUUGCCAUACUCUCAUCAUUGUGCUGUUUUUUGAGCAUUUCCUUACUUUCUGGCACAACAAGAUGUUCCAGACUCAUAAUAUAUGUUUCCUCCCUCAGUUCUAGAAUCAUCGUCUAGUUUUCAUAGGAGUCCUGGUUCCUUUUUUUGGAAACCAAGAUCUAGCCACUAGGUAUGUUUAGUUUUUACUUUUUUACAAAAGAAAAAGUAACAAAGCCUUUCCUUCUGAAGCAAAAGAUCAUUUUGCACCUGUACAAUUUGGAGAUAAUACGAUGGGAAGGGUGAUUAUAAAUACAAAUUUGUUUGGAAUAGACCUCUUUAUGCCUGUCCCUUCAGGUUAAAUGUUAGACAUAAAUGUCCUCAAUUACAUGACUACCUUAGCACCAGGUUACAAAGGGAGUCUCUCAAAUUUAUACAUCAAUUCUGUUUGCAGGAAUUGUUUCAAUGUAUCCUGUUAGUGCCUUACAUAAUUUAGCAUCUUUCACAAUUUAGAAGGACCGUCAGAGAAUUUUUAUUUGCUGAAUAAGCAGAUAGCUAUUAAAUUAGGAAGAGGAUUUUAGGCAACAAAGGUUAACUGUUCUUCCCUAGGACAGUGCCUAAAGGGGCAGAGAAAAAAAGAAAAGUAAUAUGGUGUUAAGCUACAUGUUAUCCAGUUUUCUCAUUUUUAAAGGUAUCUUUAAUUGUUUGAUAUAUCUUUACUUGAAUUAUAGUCUUCAGCUCCUGGAGGGAGAUGAAUGAGUAACAUUAAAUUAAGCGUUAGUAUCAUUUAAAAAUGCAGCCUGAUUUCAAAUCAAUUACGUAGAUUUCUUUUAGAAAGAAGGUUGGGUGGUAGAAGGAAUGUGCUUCUAAUAAUUAAAAAAAAAAAAAAUCUAGCCUGCUACUGUGAUAGAUAUUCAUACAUGCCUCGUCUCUUUUAACUUUCUCAACAAUCCUGUGAUCCAGUUGUUAGUCCCAUUUAACAAAUGAGAAACCUGACAGUCAGAAAGGGUGAACUAAAUCAUGUACUUAGUGGCACAGUUGGCUGUUGCCCUUAUUUUAUCUCAGGUCAUUCGUACUCUUGUAAGGUACAUUUACAAGGAGAGACCCCUCCCAUGAUUUUACUGCUAAGCUUUUUAAAAUACUGAUAUUUUCUUAAUUAAUAAGGAAUAUCUUUAAUACAUUUUGGGAAUGAAAAUAGUAGGUUUCAGUAUUACUUUCUUAAUAAAUAUUUGAGAAGUGCUUUUCUAGUAACCAGAAAAGGAGAGUUUUAUAAUAAAAUUUGAUUUCCUCUCUCAAUUUUGUUAAUUGAUUAUGAUUGCUUUUCAUGUGUAUACCUUUAGCAACCAUAAAAUAGUAGUGUUUGAAUUAUAGGCAAAACUAACUACAGACAGCUAUGUGUUGCAUUUUGACUAUGGUUUGGCUGUUAGGUGUGGAUGAAGGGUUUGGUGUAGUGUUUUUGAAAAUUAUCAUUCACAGAUGAUUUGACGCUGGUUAACCUCUAGGCUUCCAGUUCUUCACAAAGCCUCAUUGCUUAUUCACAUCCUGAGCCUUCACAUUUUAGAAGCUCCUUUUUAGUAACAGCUUUUACAUAGAAAGUGUAGAGAACAUUAUACAUUGAAAAGCUAAUCCAGUUUCAUUUAAAAUAUUAAAUUGUAUAGGUUUUUUUGCUAUAGGUACUGUAAAAUGGCACUUUCUAAAUAUGAAAGCUUUUUCUAUAAGGAAUUUGGUAUUCAAACAAGAUUUGUUGCCUCUGCAUCAGUAAAGCAGAAUGGAAAAUGGGCUGGGGAGAGAACCAGUCCAGAUAUAUGUUGAACUUUGAUUUUUCAAGUGGGAUUCUAUUUGUUUUACUUUUUUGCCUUGUUAUCCUUGUUUGUUAUGGAAAAAGUCUUAUACAGAUGUAAUCCUGGAAAAAUUGGACACAAAUCCUGGCUUUGUAAAUUGAAUUGUGCUUUUCUAAUGACAUAAUUGUAGUGUUUUCUCUUUGCUUCAUUUGUUCUCCCCUUGGAAGUAAAACUUACUUAAUUUCAGUUUUAAAACUUAUCAAAUUCUUUUAUAUAGAAUUUUAAGUAAUGCAAUUUAAUGAAAUAACUCAUUUGCAGUUUUUAAAAUUAGGCUUCUUUUUACUAGAACAUAUUUCUGAAGUUUGCCACUUAGAAUUAGAACUCAGGGAACUUAUGUCUGGUUGUUUAUUUGCCCACUGGAGAAUCAGUCCCAUAAAAUGUAGGAUUUUAAAAUUCAAAUGUACAGUUCUACUUAUUUAUUAGUUAUAAUUUGUAUAGCAUUGGGUUUUAAUUAAAGUAUGUGCCUCAAAUGGUGGUGAUUGAAAGAUAAAAGUCAAACUGUAGUAGUUCCUUUCCUUUGUGAAGCCUGUGGUUUUAUACUAAUGUUUGUCCACAAUUCAGAAUUAAAUAUUAAAUAGAAUUAUGUCUUUUAUGUCUUUGUUUUAGAUGUCUUAUGUACAUGUAUAUGAUAAAGGAUAUCAUAUACAUGUUAUUAACCAUCUGUUCUUAACCAUUGUUCUUAACCAUCUGUCUUGCCUUGAAAUAUUUAAUAGGCUUAAUUCAUGCAAAUGUGCUUAUCUCUUUAAAAUUUGUGUUAUGUUAUGCAUAUUUUCUUUAAGAAUCAAACUUGGAUUAUUUUUUAGCUAGACUGUGUUCACAAAUGUGAUAUUGACAUGUACUGAAAAUAUGCAGAUCUAUUUAGAAUGAGUUAAGGAGUCUCACAGAGCAUAUGCUAGCUAGUGAGCUGUGUCUAUCACAUAGUAAUUCUUUUAAUAGAGAAGAAAUGAUUGUUAGCAUUUAUUUAUGAUUAACACCUUCACCUCCCUUACCAACAGUAUCAACUCUUAAGAACCUAGCAGUUGAAAAAACCAACCUUAGCCAGAUAAAGGAUAUCCAUCAGAACUCUACAAUAAGCCUCAUCUUUAAUGAUGAAAUACUAGAUAUAUUUUCUUUAAGCUUAGCAACAUGAUGAUUACUAUCUCCACUUUUAUCCAGCAUUAUGCUAGAAAUCCUAGGCAGUAAAAUAAGAAAGAAAAAAUAAUAAAUGAUACAAGAAAUGAAAGGAAUAAAUAAAACUAUCACCCCUUUUAUCCAGCAUUAUGCUGGAAAUCCUAGCCAGUAGAAUAAGAAAAGAAAAAAAUAAUAAAUGAUACCAGAAGUGAAAGGAAUAAAUAAAACUUUCAUUAUUUGUAGAUGAUUGUCUGGGAAAUCUGAGAAAAAUCUAUAUACAAACUACCAGAACUAAUGAUAUAGCUUGGCACUGUGGAUGGAUACAAGAUAACAUAAAAAGGAUCAUGCUUCUGUACCUUAGCAAAAAUGUUUUGAAAAUGUGACUUAAAGAAGAUUUCAGUUGUAACAGCAACAAAAGUACCUUACUUAGGAAUAAGUUAAAACGAGAUGUAGAAGAACUUUAUAGAAAACUUUAUUAAAGAAGCUAAAAGAAUAUCUAAAUAAAUGGAUGAGUAAAUUCAAUAGCCUGGAGAUGUAAAAUAUUUUUAAAUAUAUCUUAUUUGAAUAUAAUUUCAAAAAAAUUUAAAAGUUUGUUUUGCAGAACUUGGCACAAUUUUAGCUGACUCUAAAAUGUAUAUGCAAGGGUAAAAGGUCAAGAUUAACGAAGAGGAAAAAUAAAGUGGGAAGAUUCACCCAGUUAGACAUAAAGCUAAAGUAAACAGGAUACGAAUUAAUCAGUCAAGUUUAGGAACUCUGUAUAUGACAGAUGUAGUA